GUAUUUCACCUUUAUUUUUCUACAUAUGAAUAUACUUAGCACAAAGUGCAAUGGGCACUCUGUGCUAACCCACUAAUGUGGGCUUGAUCAUUAAAACGAAUGAGAUUUUCACUGACUUCAAUGAGCUUUGGAUGAGGUGUUGAGAGGAAGACCUGUGGUUUUAUACAAACUUAAUUGUUGUUCACUGUUGUUUUUGUAUAGAAGUGGAAAUAAUCAAAUCUAUUUUUCACAUUGCUUUCAGCAGGAUAAAUCUUAAUAGGUGUAACCAGAGCUGUUUUAACUGUUUUCUUUCCCUUCCAAAGAGAGGAAAAAGCUGCCUUGUAAUGGGGAAUAAUGAGUGAAUUCUAAGUGACUUUUCAGAGACUCACCUGCAAUCUGAAUUCUUCUGACAAGCAGUAAUUUUCAGAUCCAAGAGUCCAGAUACUACAGGACAGAUUUUGAUGCAUAGAUUUCUACCACAUAAAUAUACAAAAAGGGAAGAAGAGCCUUUUGAGUCUACGUCUGUUUAACAAGCUGUGUUUGCAUUUCAGAGUAGAUGGCCUUCUAUUGUGUCCAUGUUGCUGUCCCUAAAGAAUAACAUAAAAUUGAGUUGGUUGCAAGUCUACUUACCACCUCACUUUCAAGGACAAUAAGUUCUCUGAUGGCUCUUGCAUUAGAAACCCUUUUAUAAUUGCACUUCUGGAGUCAUGACUUCUCACCCUCUCUUUAGGACAACCAGAUUUAAAAAGCAUUGUUAUUUCUAUAAUUUAAAAAGUCACUACUGAUUUGGUUUGAGAGGACUUGCAUUUUGUCAAAUUGUUCUGUUACUCUUUAACUGCAAGUGCAACUCAUGAAAACCAAAAAUAAGCUGUUUAAGAACUGCAUAUUCCAAUCUCAAAAGGAUGCAUAAAUCAAGGUUGUAACUCUGAGCUGUAGAAGUUAGCCAGAAUCUUAAAAAAAAAAAAAAUUAGUAAAUUCAAAAUACUUGCAAAUUUACAUUUGUUUUACACUCUUCAAGAGCCUGCAAA